rnacentral:rRNA from 1 species
UAAUCAUUUGUCUUUUAAUUAAGGUCUGGAAUGAAUGGUUGGAUGAGAAGUUUACUUUCUUUAUUUUAAAGUAAAAAUUUGAUUUUUAAGUUAAAAAGCUUAAAUAUUGUUAUAGGACGAGAAGACCCUAUAGAGCUUUAUUUCCCCAAAAUAAUUAUUUUUUUGGAAAUAAUUAUUUAUUAUUUUUAGGGGAAAUUUUGUUGGGGUGACAGAAAAAAUUUUAUAACUUUUUUAUGGGUUUUCAUUUGUUUAUGAGUUUAUAAUCCUAUAUUAUAGAAUUAAGAUUAAGUUACCUUAGGGAUAACAGCGUUAUUAUUUUGGAGAGUUCUUAUUGAUAAAAUAGUUUGCGACCUCGAUGUUGGAUUAAAAUUGGCUUCAGGAGUAGAAGAUUGAUAGCCGGGUCUGUUCGACCCUUGAAUUUUUACAUGAUCU